rnacentral:rRNA from 1 species
GACGACGCGUGGCGGCGUGCUUAACACAUGCAAGUCGAGCGGUAAGGCUCCUUCGGGAGUACACGAGCGGCGAACGGGUGAGUAACACGUGAGUAACCUGCCCCAAUCAUCGGGAUAACCAUUGGAAACGAUGGCUAAUACCGAAUACGACCACCGAAGGCAUCUUCUGGUGGUGGAAAGCUCCGGCGGAUUGGGAUGGACUCGCGGCCUAUCAGCUUGUUGGUGAGGUAAUGGCUCACCAAGGCAACGACGGGUAGCCGGCCUGAGAGGGUGACCGGCCACACUGGGACUGAGACACGGCCCAGACUCCUACGGGAGGCAGCAGUGGGGAAUAUUGGACAAUGGGCGCAAGCCUGAUCCAGCAACGCCGCGUGAGGGAUGACGGCCUUCGGGUUGUAAACCUCUUUCAGUAGGGACGAAGCGAAAGUGACGGUACCUACAGAAGAAGGACCGGCCAACUACGUG